GCCCUGAGCAUGACACAAAACUGCCCACCACCGAAUGCCGCAUCAGCUGAUCACCGAUGGCUCAACGGUAUCCGGUGGUACAAGUAAAUAGCACGGCUGCCCAUUGAGCGGGUCAGCCGCAAUCCGAAGCGGAAAGAUUCGUUAGGACUGCGGUCGGUUUCCUAUACCCAUUUUGCAGCAGCACC
rnacentral:ncRNA from 1 species